ACGCUCGACACCUACGGGAGGCAGCAGUGGGGAAUAUUGCACAAUGGGGGAAACCCUGAUGCAGCGACGCCGCGUGAAGGAAGAAGUAUUUCGGUAUGUAAACUUCUAUCAGCAGGGAAGAAGAUGACGGUACCUGAGUAAGAAGCACCGGCUAAAUACGUGCCACAGCCGCGGUAAUCUGAGCGGGCUGGCAAGGC
rnacentral:rRNA from 1 species